UCAUGGAGGAGAAGGUGUAAUGAUGGGGGGGUGCUCUGCUGGUGACACUGUCUGUGAUUUAUUUAGAAUUCAAGGCACACUUAACCAGCUUGGCUACCACAGCAUUCUGCAGCAAUACACCAUCCCAUCUGGUUUGCACUUAGUGGGACUAUAAUUUGUUUUUCAACAGAACCUUCACACUGUAUAGCGGCUUUUUGAUCAAGAAGAGUGAUGAAGUGCUGCAUCAGAUUACCUGGCCUCCACAAUCACCCGACCUCAACCCAAUUGAGAUAAUUAGGGAUGAGUUGGACCACAGCAUGAAGGAAAAGCAGCCAACAAAUGCUCAGCAUAUGUGGGAACUCCUUCAAGACUGUUGGAAAAGCUUUCCAGGUGAAACUGGUUGAGAGAAUGCCAAGAGUGUGCAAAGCUGUCAUCAAGAGGGUCCAUUGCCCAGGCGAAGGCUGCAGCUGCUGGCCAGACUGGCCCUGGUGGGACAGACAGACCUCGAGCACAACUCCUCUGACCAUCUGCUCAUACUCAUCUGCUCCGCCUCUGCCCCUGAGACUGGAUGUCAAGGGUUAAGGGUCAGAGCCUCAAACAAACCUGGAGGUCAAAGAACUGGAGAGACCAGGGAAUUUACCCAUACCUCUCACCAGCAACCAAUAGCUUUUGUCUCUGUCUCUCAUAUUUUCAUAUCACCACAGAGAAAGACUUUCAUUUUAAUGACAUUUAUUGAUGAUCUUGCAACUUGGCAGUGGCCUAUCUCUAGUGGAUAGGUAUAGGCUACUGCGUCCAGAUGUUUACACUUUUUUAAAAACUUUUUAUGUUAUUUUACAUUGAUUGAAGAUAUUAUGAUAAGAGACCUUUUUAUAUUUGAAGGGUUUUAAUAAAUGUUGACAUGAAUUCAUUUAAAAAUGUGCGGAAUAUAAGGAAUAAGGAAUAGCACUGAGAAAUCGACAUGUUUUAUUCAUUAUGUCAUUAUGCACAUGAGCACAUACUAUUUGGUUUGAUAAUAUUGGUAUUGAAAAUGAAGGCUAUUAUGUUACAGCUAUUGUACCUUAUUUAACACAAUACAAUACCUGCAAUUAAAGACACCCUGUACAUGCA